CAGUGUCUAGAUUAGUUCUGCAAAGAAAUAAGGCUUUGCUCUGCAUGGCAUCAACUGAGCUUUUAAAGAUCACACAUGAGCAAGGGUUUAAAAAAAAAGUUAGAAAAAUCAAAAACAAAGCUUUAUAGCCACUUCAGAAAGCCUGGAUGUUUAACCUGCAAGGAAGUCUGUCAAAUCCUUGUGGAAAGUAUAUAGAGAAAAGAUCAAUAGGAUACCUACUGGCUCCAUUAGCUUGAUGUAAAAGGGGAGAGGAGAACUGCUCUUCCACAAGAGAAACUCCAUUAUUCCAGGGAUUAUGCGGGGAUCAGUUCAUUUUGCAGACAAGAAGAAGAGAAAAUGAAUGAAGAUUCUUGGUGGGCCAAGACUGGAGAGAAAGGGCUUGUCAGGUAAUAUCACUGGUGAUAACAAAGUGGCUUAUUGACUGGGAGGUGUCUCUAAUUAGAUGUUCAUUUGCAUAGGGGAAAUGCCAGUUGUAGUCUGGAGUGAGGCACCAGGGAGAGAGAUUCAGAGAAACUGCUGUCACUCAAAUAUGCUGCAAGCUCAGUCUAACAGAAUUAGGAAGCCUUGUCCUUUCUGAAGGCUUGACUGCUCCUGCCUGUGACCAUGAAGACAUACUGUCCUGGAGUGCAGUGCCCUCGGCUUGAAGGCUUGUAGCUACCAACUCCAGAGAACAUUAAAAACAAGCUUCAUGUGGUAAAAAUAUAGGAGGGUCUUGUGGACUCAGACUGUGGACGGCUGAGAGGCUCAGCGCAGCAAACGCCAGCCCAGACAUGCCGCCCGGGAAGCUGGCAAGGUGCCUUGUGUGCAGCGAGACGCAGCUGAAGUGGAAAGCGCGCGCUGGGGCUCGGAGACCUGAAGUGAAA